GUGGGGAAUAUUGGGCAAUGGGGGAAACCCUGACCCAGCGACGCCGCGUGAGGGAAGAAGGCCUUAGGGUCGUAAACCUCUGUUGUGUGGGAAGAAGAGUGUGACGGUACCACACGAGGAAGUCCCGGCUAACUACGUGCCAGCAGCCGCGGUAAUACGUAGGGGACGAGCGUUGUCCGGAUUUACUGGGCGUAAAGGGCGCGUAGUCGGUCAUUUAAGUCAGCUGUGAAAUGGUUUGGCUUAACCGGAUCAUGCGGUUGAAACUGGAUGACUGGAGUGCUGGAGAGGCAAGUGGAAUUCCCAGUGUAGCGGUGAAAUGCGUAGAUAUUGGGAAGAACACCGGUGGCGAAGGCGACUUGCUGGCCAGCAACUGACGCUGAGGCGCGAAAGCCAGGGGAGCAAACGGGAUUAGAAACCCCUGUAGUCC
rnacentral:rRNA from 1 species